UUUGUUAAUUUCAUUUUCCCCAAACAAAAAUAUCAAAAUGUCCAACGUUUAUUUUCAACCUAAAAAAAUAGCAACAAAACAAAACCUUAAUUUGUUAAUAAUAUCCAUAAUAUCAUUAUAACUGUUUUAUUCAAUUUAAACUAACGAUGUCGUUUAAGCCGGGCUCCAUCGUAAAAAUCCAGGUAGAAAAUUUUGUGACUUACAGCUAUGUGGAAAUGUAUCCUGGUCCAAAUUUGAAUAUGAUAAUUGGACCCAAUGGAACUGGGAAGUCGACAAUGGUGGCUGCUAUCAUACUAGGGCUUGGUGGAAACCCAAAAACAGUUGGGAGAGGCACCAGAGUCUCAGAGUAUGUAAAACAUGAAUGUGAUCAUGCAAAAAUAAAUAUAUUUCUUCAAGGUCACCAGCAAAAUUCUUUUAUUAAAAUAACUCGGGAGUUUAACACUCAAGAGAAGUCAAAUUGGAAAUUAAACAACAAAAGCUGCAGAUUUGCAGAAGUUGAAGAAUGCAUUCAACAGUUUAAUAUACAGGUGGACAAUUUAUGCCAGUUUUUGCCCCAAGAUCGUGUAGCAGACUUUGCCAAACUAAACAAGCAAGAUUUAUUAAGAGAAACUAUGAGAGCACUUUGUCGACAUGACCUUAUCGAAAAGCAGGAUGCCCUUAUUGAAGCAAGAGAACAACACAAAAAUUUAACCCAGCAGGCUGGAAAACAUGGGCAAACUUUGCAGGAGGCUCAAAAUGAUGUUUUAAGAUUGGAAGGACGAGUUAAGAAUUUUAAUAAAGUAUUAAAAUAUAAAGAACGAAUUACUGAUAUUGAUCGAAAAAUUGCAUGGAGUGAAUAUGAAGAAAAGAGGCUGAAGCUAAGUGAGAUUAAGGCAGACAAGUUGCAAGCACAGCAAAUUGUUGACAAACACAAAAGUGAAAUAAAACCUAUAGAACAACAUAUUAACCUGCAUAAAGAGACAUUAAAUGGUAUACAGCGGAGCAAUUCAGAAGUAGUGCAAAGCAUACGGAAGCAAGAAGAGCACAUAAACACGACUACAGAAAAAAUAGAAUCCCUUAGCGAUAAAGUGCGCAAAAUCGAGGAUGAAAUGCAAUUAAAGCUGGAGGAAAAUAACCAGUGGGACAAACAAAUCGAAGAAGUGGUGGCUAAACUUGAAGAUAUGAAAAAAGCCCACCAUAGUUUAUCCGCGAAGAUGAAUCAAGGUGUCGAGAAAAAAGCAGCAAUUUUGACUGAAGUGUCGAACGAUACAAAUCGUAUAAGGCAGCUGCAAGACCAAAAGGAACAGAUUGAACAAGUGGUGAGCGAAAAUAACGCGGAAAUUCGGGCAUUACGAAACGAACAAGAAAGGAUUGAAAAUAUUAAAGAGCAGAGAUUUGAAAAGUUGAGAAGAACUAAUAAUGAUGCAUAUACGGCAGUUCAUUGGUUACGGAAUAACGGUCAUCUUUUUAAAGGUGAAAUUUUUGAACCAAUAAUGUUAGAAUUAAACGUACUAGAUAAUAGUAAGGCUAAAUAUGUAGAAUCCCUAAUUCCCAUGAGAGAUAGGCUAGCAUUUACAUGCACAGAUAAAGGGGACAUGAAUUUGUUAAUUCAGUCUCUAAGACACCAUCAAAAGUUAUCUAUUAAUGUGGUAUAUGCAGGCCCUCCAAACGAAAAAUACAACCAACCGAAUGUACCUAUAGAGAGAUUGAGAAAAUAUGGUUUUUACACUUACGUGAGCGCCCUAAUUUCUGCUCCUGUUCCUAUUAUGAGAUAUUUGUGUCGGACUUAUAAGUUACAUAAUAUUCCUGUGGGGGAUAAAACUACGAAUAACUGCUACGAAAGCGUCCCGCAAGAGAUCAGUGUGUUUUUUAGUGAUACUUUUAGAUAUGCUAUUAUGCGCUCUAAAUAUUCAAACCAAACGAGUACUCGUCAAAACGAAGUAACCGGUGAUGGUGGGUUGUCUUUGUCAUUAGAUGUUAUAAGGCUGGAAAAUGUGAAAGGCAGGUGUAAUGAUAUGAAAAGGAAACUUGAAGGUUUGCAGACUCAGAUAGAAAAUUAUAAUGUGCAAAUAAGUAAAUUAGAAGAGAAAAUUAAGGCGAAUAAAGAAAAGGUGUUAGAAAUGCAGAAGCAAAAGCAACACAUUGAUGCUCUAAAAAAUAAAAUUGCUUCGAGUCAGCACAAUCUAACACAAAUGCGGGAUAACAAAAAAAGUCCCGAAGAAAUUAGACGAGAGGCACGCGUAAAAAUGAAAAAACUAGUUCAAACCAUGGGGCUUUUACAGGAAACCUUAAAAAACUAUUUUAAGGAGCUAGAAAGUUUGAUAACUACGGCUAACUUAAACUCGAGUAAAAUCGAGAUUUUACGACAAAAAAUUGAAUAUAUGGAGAACCAAAUCGUUGACUCAAAGAGGUUGAUUCAUGAAGCUCAAGAAACGCUCUCUUUGGUAACAGACCGAUACAAUGCUGCGAUACAAGAAGCCAAAAACCAGCUUCAGAAGGCAAAGUCGCUAUCGGGCGGUUUUACACCGGCUGACCAACAAUUUGAUCAGUAUAGAGAAGCGUAUGAGAGACUUGGAAAUAACUUGGAAGAAUUGGUAGCGGAAAAGGAAAAUUUGAUUUCACGAAUUGAUUGUUUAAAUACAGCCGACGAUCAGGAGAUUCAGGAAUAUGAAGAUAGGGUGAAUCUUAUUGAAAAACUGACUUCAAAUAUAGAAGGACUUAAUGUGCAGAUUAAUAAACUUAGUGUUAAGAUGGAUAGGAUGCAAGUGGAAUGGUUAACUCCACUGAACGAUUUAGUAGCUGGAAUUAAUUUGAGGUUUGGCAGUGCAUUUGAGCGAAUGGGUUGCGCAGGCGAAGUUACCAUUUGUCCAGGAGAUAACGACAAAAACUACGCUGAUUAUUCUUUAUCGAUUAAGGUAACAUAUAGAAAUGGAGAACCGCUCCAAGAAUUAAACUCUACAAUUCAGAGUGGUGGUGAACGAGCAGUGGCAACCGCCGCUUUUAUGCUGGCGUUACAAGAAUUAACUCCAGUUCCUUUUAGAUGUGUGGAUGAAAUUAAUCAAGGUAUGGAUGCUAACAACGAAAGACGCAUUUUCGAAUUAAUAGUGGAAACGACAAGUCAACCGGAAACAUCCCAGUAUUUCUUAAUUACACCGAAACUUGUGCCCAAUUUAAAUUAUUCCAGACAACUUCUCGUUCACAUCGUACACAAUGGGCCGAUGAUUAAUGCAGAUCAGAAAUGGUCUGCUUCUAAAUUUUGUAAUCCCAACCGGUUACAAGUUCAAUGAAUGUUUGGCGGUAAACAAAUUUAGUGCCUGGAAAAUGACUUGUACCUGAUUAUAAAAUGCACUUAUUUGUUUUCUGUGAAUAUAUUUGGAAUAUGUAAACAAUAGAUGCGAUGCAAAACAUGUUCCAAUCACAUGCUUGGAAUUUGAUGUCUCGCAGCGGCGCAGGCUCCUUAUAUACUAACUACUACAGAUCAUGCUUCCGGAAGAUUCGCUAACCUUCUACGCCUUUCCAGAGAUGUGCGGUUACCCAAUAACACAGAAU
rnacentral:misc_RNA from 1 species